GUGGGGAAUAUUCCGCAAUGGACGAAAGUCUGACGGAGCAACGCCGCGUGAGUGAUGAAGGUCUUCGGAUUGUAAAGCUCUGUUAAUCGGGACGAAAGAGCCUAGUGUGAAUAAUGCUAGGAAGUGACGGUACCGGAAUAGAAAGCCACGGCUAACUACGUGCCAGCAGCCGCGGUAAUACGUAGGUGGCAAGCGUUGUCCGGAAUUAUUGGGCGUAAAGCGCGCGCAGGCGGAUCUGCCAGUCUGUCUUAAAAGUUCGGGGCUUAACCCCGUGAUGGGAUGGAAACUACAGAUCUAGAGUAUCGGAGAGGAAAGUGGAAUUCCUAGUGUAGCGGUGAAAUGCGUAGAUAUUAGGAAGAACACCAGUGGCGAAGGCGACUUACUGGGCCGUAACUGACGCUGAGGCGCGAAAGCGUGGGGAGCGAACAGGAUUAGAAACCCCGGUAGUCC
rnacentral:rRNA from 1 species